rnacentral:ncRNA from 1 species
UCGGACCGUCGCAACUGGCGCUCAGAUGGUCACCAUCGGGGAGCGAUGACAGGGAUUCGGCCGCGCGCCUGGGUCGAUACG